AUUGAACGCUGGCGGUAUGCUUACACAUGCAAGUCGAACGGUAGAGGGGCAACCCUUGAGAGUGGCGAACGGGUGAGUAAUACAUCGGAACGUGCCCAGUCGUGGGGGAUAACGUAGCGAAAGCUACGCUAAUACCGCAUACGACCCGAGGGUGAAAGCGGGGGACUCGCAAGGGCCUCGCGCGAUUGGAGCGGCCGAUGGCAGAUUAGGUAGUUGGUGGGGUAAAGGCCCACCAAGCCUGCGAUCUGUAGCUGGUCUGAGAGGACGACCAGCCACACUGGGACUGAGACACGGCCCAGACUCCUACGGGAGGCAGCAGUGGGGAAUUUUGGACAAUGGGCGAAAGCCUGAUCCAGCCAUACCGCGUGCGGGAAGAAGGCCUUCGGGUUGUAAACCGCUUUUGUCAGGGAAGAAAUCUUCUGGGUUAAUACCUCGGGAGGAUGACGGUACCUGAAGAAUAAGCACCGGCUAACUACGUGCCAGCAGCCGCAGUAA
rnacentral:rRNA from 1 species